GAGAUUUCGUUUUGACAGAAAA
rnacentral:snRNA from 1 species